UGGGGAAUAUUGGACAAUGGGCGAAAGCCUGAUCCAGCCAUGCCGCGUGUGUGAAGAAGGUCUUCGGAUUGUAAAGCACUUUAAGUUGGGAGGAAGGGCAUUAACCUAAUACGUUAGUGUUUUGACGUUACCGACAGAAUAAGCACCGGCUAACUCUGUGCCAGCAGCCGCGGUAAUACAGAGGGUGCAAGCGUUAAUCGGAAUUACUGGGCGUAAAGCGCGCGUAGGUGGUUUGUUAAGUUGGAUGUGAAAUCCCCGGGCUCAACCUGGGAACUGCAUUCAAAACUGACUGACUAGAGUAUGGUAGAGGGUGGUGGAAUUUCCUGUGUAGCGGUGAAAUGCGUAGAUAUAGGAAGGAACACCAGUGGCGAAGGUGACCACCUGGACUAAUACUGACACUGAGGUGCGAAAGCGUGGGGAGCAAACA
rnacentral:rRNA from 1 species